UGUAGUCUCAACGAUGAUGCAUACAUGUCCACUAUGGGUGUUGGGUCCAACAAUUCGCAUUGGUCUCAAACCAAUGACAUCCAUUUCGAAGACCAUGAGUUUGAGGUGGACGAGGAGGGUGAGGGAAUUGUCGAGGCGCCGAAAGGAAGAGCGGGCAAUUACUCCACCAACGAUGACAAGUUACUAUGCUAUACUUAUUUGCAUGUGUCGGGGGAUCCAUCCAUUGGAGGUGAUCAAAGUAGACACGCGUAUUGGGGGCGAAAGAAAGAACACUUUGAUGCUCACAAGUUAGUGGAAUUGACCGCUCCGAGAGAUCACUUCGGUCCCGAUGGUCGACAAUCAACUCGGAUUGUCAAAAGUGGGCGGCCGCACAAAAGUCAGUGGACAAGAUUAACCCAAGUGGCACAAAUGAGGAUGAUCGAGUAA
rnacentral:rRNA from 1 species